rnacentral:RNase_MRP_RNA from 1 species
AGUUUUGGUUAAGGCUUGCUAUGGUCAUUCGCUGAUUCAGGUCCUAGUGGCUUGCGAUUGUAGGGAGUUGUCUUUUUUUGCUGAGAGUUAGGUGUGGUUCAAUGACUAGGGAAAUUCUCCGGACCUAAAUGGCAGAAAGUGCCGUUCCGAAAGGAAUAGUAGCAACUUCUGGUUCAUGGCUACGAUAUGCUGAGUCUACGUUCUGGGUGUUGUGAAUUGGUCGUUUUCAAAGUAAUGCAAGCAACCUUCGGAGGGUUUUCGAGACCCUCCGAGGGCGAACUCAACGGAGCUUACUCUAACCAAAAC